GUGAGGGACGUUUCUUAUUAAUCAUGGGCACUGAAUGGAAACCAAUCAGAUAGAGAGUCCCUUUGGCUUCAGCUCCCUGCCUGCCUGAGUUAAAAGUGAUUCUGGGAGAGAGGGAGCCCCAGUUAGAUGCAAGUACAUCCAGCAGUGGAGAUACUGUAACAGGCAGCAGAGGGAAAGCAGGCAGAGAAGCAGCACUGAGCAGUGCAUCACAGAGCCAAGCUAGAUUCACUUUACAUUGGUGAAUAAGAAGCUUUAUAACUUGCCUGGUGAAUUGGCCCUUAUGAAUAAAGACAGAAAGUCCAGAUAUCCAGACUUCAGGAUAACAGCUCAUUUAUAGAGUGGACCUAAGCUCUGCUCCUUGGAAUUCCAUGGAAUUUAACGAGAAUUUUAUCGCUGACUUCAAUCAAGGGAGGAUAAGGACCAUAGAAAAUACAAGAUCUUACUCAACAUAUGUCAUUGUACAGAGACCCAAAUUUUCUCUCAGACACAGAAAAUAUUUUUAAAUGGCUCAUUUAAGCACCUGGAAGAAGAGCUGUUGAAGUCUGCACAGUGGUCUAACACCACUGAAAGCAUCAGUGAAAGAGAAAAAAGGUAUCAUCUCCAAGAUCUACUGCCCUGGAGGGCCAUGCCAGCACUGUCCCUGCAGGGAACUCUACACGGAGCAGGAGGAGAAGAGCGCAUUGGGUGUUUCCUCACCCACCGAAACAUAUACAUCCAGGCUACUUCAGUAAAUAAUAAGAGGCCCACCUCUUCCAUUCACAAGGGGAGGAAGGGGCCCUGGUACCUCUCCUAAAGGGACAGGAGAGUACCAUGCCACUGUCUCCUGAGAGUACCUUCGCACUGCCACUCCAAGGGUAUGAGAGCAGCUCUGCAGGGGUGAAGCCACAGGAGGCCUCAAAUUGUCAUGUGCCUAUGGUCCUGGAUUACCUUAAUCCAGCCCUGAUUUCGGUGCAGUACUAUGGAAUGCUGCACCAUUGCAGGGGCUAAGUGAGCCACUGUUGAAAGCUUAACAGCUACACAGUUUGCCUACACAGUGUUUGCAUCAGUAGUGCCUGAGCCUCUGCUUUGUAAAGUAUGAAAGCUGCUAUAUAAAACAUUCUAUUAAGGGAUAUAAAUAGGGGGAGAUUGCUGCAGUAAUGGAAAAUAAAUGAGCCACAUAAAUUUUCUG